UUGACCUCAAAUCAGGUAGGACUACCCGCUGAACUUAAGCAUAUCAAUAAGCGGAGGAAAAGAAACUAACAAGGAUUCCCCUAGUAACUGCGAGUGAAGAGGGAAAAGCUCAAAUUUAAAAUCUGGCAGUCUCUGAUUGUCCGAGUUGUAAUUUAGAGAAGUGUUACCCGCGUUGGACCGUGUACAAGUCUCCUGGAAUGGAGCGUCAUAGAGGGUGAGAAUCCCGUCUUUGACACGGACUACCAAGGCUUUGUGGUGCGCUCUCGAAGAGUCGUGUUGUUUGGGAAUGCAGCACUAAAUGGGUGGUAAAUUCCAUCUAAAGCUAAAUAUUGGCGAGAGACCGAUAGCGAACAAGUACCGUGAGGGAAAGAUGAAAAGAACUUUGGAAAGAGAGUUAAACAGUACGUGAAAUUGCUGAAAGGGAAACGCUUGAAGUCAGUCGCGUUGGCUAGGGAUCAACCUUGCUUUUGUGGGGUGUACUUCCUAGUUAACGGGUCAACAUCAGUUUUGACUGCUGGAAAAAGGCUAGGGAAAUGUGACAACUCCGGUUGUGUUAUAGUCUCUAGUCAUAURCAGUGGUUGGGACUGAGGAACUCAGCACGCCGCAAGGCCGGGUUUUUAACCACGUUCGUGCUUAGGAUGUUGGCAUAAUGGCUUUAAGCGACCCGUC
rnacentral:rRNA from 1 species